rnacentral:rRNA from 1 species
GAGUUUGAUCCUGGCUCAGAACGAACGCUGGCGGCGUGGAUAAGACAUGCAAGUCGAACGCUUAUUUCCUGGUAGCAAUAUUAGGGAGUAGGAGUGGCGCAAGGGUGCGUAACACGUGGAUCAUCUGCCUGGAAGUUCGGAAUAAUUCCGCGAAAGCGGGACUAAUGCCGGAUGUGGUUGGAAGACUAAAGUUGGGGACCGCAAGGCCUGACGCUUCCAGAUGAGUCCGCGGCCUAUCAGCUAGUUGGCGGGGUAAUGGCCCACCAAGGCUAAGACGGGUAGCUGGUCUGAGAGGACGACCAGCCUCACUGGAACUGAGACACGGUCCAGACACCUACGGGUGGCAGCAGUCGAGAAUUUUUCUCAAUGGGGGAAACCCUGAAGGAGCGACGCCGCGUGGGGGAUGAAGGGCUUCGGCCCGUAAACCCCUGUCAUUUGCGAACAAAUGUCAUGGUUGAACAUUCCAUGGCUUGAUUGUAGCGAAAGAGGAAGGGACGGCUAACUCUGUGCCAGCCGCCGCAGU